GGCAGCGGGCCUGGCUCCACCGGCCCUCCCUGCCCGGGGCGGGGCAAGGGGCUCGCUCACCGGAGGAGUCCCCAGCCGAGGCGCAGCCCCCUCUUUGAACUAAAAACUGGGCCAGCACCCGGCGCUCUCGGCAUUGAGGGAGUCGUUACUCUGCUAAAGCGUUUCCAGCCUCUGAGAUAAAAACGGCCGCCAGCUCGGGCGGAGCGGUGUGAAAACUCUUCGUCGCGGCUGAUCGGCACCUGGUUGUCGGGCACACGGCUCGGGGGGACUCGUGCUUUGAAACGCACCCGCACACCUAUCUAUCCCUACACCAGGCGUGGGUAUCAUUUGGUCCUUAAAAUCCCAAACAAGGUCAUUUCUGUUCAAUAUGAACAUAGUCAUAUGGAGUAUAUUGUGGCCAAUGAGAAGACCCAUUCUCUUGAUUUGAGAGAUUUUCCAAUGGAUGCUCAAGUUGUGUGGAAGAUAACCCUCCAGGCUGUUUUGGCUUCUUGAAUAUUGAUGCACAGAACAAGACAGAAAGUAAAGGCAGACAUUCAUAUUCUGGUGGGCACCAACGAGCUCUGCUUCCUUGAAGAUAUCUUACACAGUUCGAGGUUCAAGAGACCCAGGCUGCUUAGGACACAUACCUGGCUGUAGCUCUGGAUGGCACCUCUGGCCUGACUGCCACGGGCUGGGAGCUGGGCAGCCGCUGUUUCACCCA